rnacentral:lncRNA from 1 species
AAUAACAGUAACUCAUUUAUAGGUGGUGACAUCACCCAGCCUUAUCUGAAGAGAAGGUUAGGCUGUGAGUGAGGCUUGUUAAAACUAAAGGGGCUGCACUGCUUUAUUUCUUUCAGGUAUGCAGGACUCCGAAUAAAAGAUUGAGUGAAACAAGCUUCGUAUCUGUCCUAAGAAUACCUGUUUUCAAUCAUCUUUGAAACAUUUACUGAAACAGUGUUUUGGGGAGACACAGAUAACCAUACCUAAUAUUUAAAAACUAAGAAAUCAACCCUUGGACUGAAGUGGAAAUUAAAACAGUUUUACAAGUCACAGAAAGUAAACCAGGUUCUACUCAGGGAGUCGUGGUCUCAGCAUAUGCUUGUUCCGCUCUGAAGCCACAGAAAACCAUUUCUCUGCUUUCAAGAGAAAGACUGAACAGUUGCUUAGAAAGUAUCAUGUAUUUUGCAUAUAAAUUCUCUGAGAAGUCUUGAAAUAAACAGAGCCUACACAUACCAAAGAAAAUACGAAGAACUCUCCAUAGUCUCUGAAGUGUUGAAGAUUAAUGGGGAGGCAGACUGUGUGUGGAGAUAAGGCCACCAUCCUAGGAUGGCAGCGUUGCCAAAGGAUGCUUUUAGGUGGCAUUAUUUAUUUUAGAUAAGUGUUUACUGUGCAUGCGGAAGAACGGAUCUGCAAGAUAGCAUAUGGGAAGACUCUCCAAAGCAAACACCAUAGCAGCACGAGCGUUUUCAGCUGUCUCCGGGC